GGUGGAUUAGUGGCGAACGGGUGAGUAACACGUGAGUAACCUGCCCUUAACUCUGGGAUAAGCCUGGGAAACUGGGUCUAAUACCGGAUAUGACUCCUCAUCGCAUGGUGGGGGGUGGAAAGCUUUAUUGUGGUUUUGGAUGGACUCGCGGCCUAUCAGCUUGUUGGUGAGGUAAUGGCUCACCAAGGCGACGACGGGUAGCCGGCCUGAGAGGGUGACCGGCCACACUGGGACUGAGACACGGCCCAGACUCCUACGGGAGGCAGCAGUGGGGAAUAUUGCACAAUGGGCGAAAGCCUGAUGCAGCGACGCCGCGUGAGGGAUGACGGCCUUCGGGUUGUAAACCUCUUUCAGUAGGGAAGAAGCGAAAGUGACGGUACCUGCAGAAGAAGCGCCGGCUAACUACGUGCCAGCAGCCGCGGUAAUACGUAGGGCGCAAGCGUUAUCCGGAAUUAUUGGGCGUAAAGAGCUCGUAGGCGGUUUGUCGCGUCUGCCGUGAAAGUCCGGGGCUCAACUCCGGAUCUGCGGUGGGUACGGGCAGACUAGAGUGAUGUAGGGGAGACUGGAAUUCCUGGUGUAGCGGUGAAAUGCGCAGAUAUCAGGAGGAACACCGAUGGCGAAGGCAGGUCUCUGGGCAUUAACUGACGCUGAGGAGCGAAAGCAUGGGGAGCGAACAGGAUUAGAUACCCUGGUAGUCCAUGCCGUAAACGUUGGGCACUAGGUGUGGGGGACAUUCCACGUUUUCCGCGCCGUAGCUAACGCAUUAAGU
rnacentral:rRNA from 1 species